AUGAACUAGCUAUUAAAAUCAUUCUCCACCAGAGUCUCUAGAUUUCUCAAGCAUGAGUCAAACCUGAAUAAACCACAUCCUUCUGCAGGAAACCAAACCCACCAACCACAUCCUUCUGUAGGAAACAGUUCUGAGGAUUUCCAAGUGUCUUAUGGGAACCCUUCUCACAAGGCUUGGGGUUAACCUCACUUGUCUUACAUCAAGGUUAGGUGGGGGACCUCACAGUCCAUUGGGAAAAAUCUUGCUCCCAUUCUUCCUUCUUUCUCCAAUCUUUAAGAACUCGAUUCUCAUACAACCUUUAUGUGGGUGAGGACAGCAGAAAUGCACCUGGGAAGCUACUGCACUUUCCUACCAUAGGAGUCAAAGGUGCAUGAGUCCCAGGCACAGUAGUGGGGUCUGAGGCAAGAAAGUCAGUGUGGGCUCAACUUCAAGGCAGCCUGUCAAGGAUAGAGAGCCCAGGCAGUGAGAGGCAGUGGCAUGUACCAGACGGGGCCAGAAGUGGAGAACUGGAACUGACCCCAUCGAGGGACUUUCAGGUAGAGGAGCCACCAAGAUGCUUCUGCAGAACAAACAAAAACACCCACUCAAGGAAAAGGAGUGUCCCAAAUGCGAAGCUGGGCAGUGUGGCUCCCAUAAUCUUCAUCACUGCCCUGUACCGCCUCCCCAGGAAAUCUUGGAAUGGUGGUCUUCAGUGGACUUGGAGGCCAAGCUGCUUCCCCCAGCUCAAGGUUCUUCCACAUGGCAGACCCAACCACAAGCAACCAAAUUAUACAAAUGAAAAGUCCAGGACAGCUUUCUGUAACUAGGACAGACAAGUUGAUUGGUCAGCAGAAAGUAAAAUAGGGGACAAGUCCAAGUGGCUUUUUGUUUUUUCAGAAAUACCCAUGGAUUUGUUAUCCCAGUUGUUUAAGAUCUAAUGUCAACUCCACUUACCCUGAUCCAAGCCUCAUACUCCCAACAAGAGUCUUGGAGCAAUGAAGAGGGAACCCAACAAACAGUCUCUAAGCAAUGAUGCUAAUGUGAAUCGUGAGGAAUAAUCUUAGGAGAAAGGCCAUUUGGGGCUAAAGAGCUGCACUACCCUUCACUGAAUUCCUAGGAUGGCCAUCUGUAGGUUUACAAUGUGCACCACAUGCUUAGCUGUGCCCUGCUGUUCGUAUAUUUUUCAUACUUCUCAGCUGCAGAAGAGAAAGGUUUUUUAUCCGAAUGACUGUAAAUUUCUUUUUCAUGCAUCCCAUGCUAGACACUGAAGUGCUCAGUGGGACCACCCUGGGGCUGAUUAGAUCACCUCUAAGUGUGCUCUUUGGGAAUUUUACAUUUAUUUUAUUUAUGUGUGUGUGGUGGGAGGGGCGGGUGUUUCCCUAACAAAUGGGGCCAAUUGUAGGGCAGGUUCAAGAUGCCCAUGACGAAGGGCAGGCUCUGGUGGAGAGGGCAGCCAUCUCCUCCCCAGAA
rnacentral:lncRNA from 10 species